UACGUAGGGGGCAAGCGUUGUCCGGAAUUAUUGGGCGUAAAGAGCUCGUAGGCGGUUUGUCGCGUCUGCUGUGAAAACCUAAGGCUCAACCUUGGGCUUGCAGUGGGUACGGGCAGACUAGAGUGUGGUAGGGGAGACUGGAAUUCCUGGUGUAGCGGUGGAAUGCGCAGAGUAUCAGGAGGAACACCGAUGGCGAAGGCAGGUCUCGUGGGCCAAUUACUGACACUGGAGAAGCGAAAGCAUGGGGAGCGAACAGG
rnacentral:rRNA from 1 species